rnacentral:rRNA from 1 species
AUUGAACGCUGGCGGCAUGCUUUACACAUGCAAGUCGAACGGUAACAGGUUAAGCUGACGAGUGGCGAACGGGUGAGUAAUGCAUCGGAACGUGCCCGGUCGUGAGGGAUAACGCAGCGAAAGCUGCGCUAAUACCGCAUACGAUCUGAGGAUGAAAGCGGGGGACCGUAAGGCCUCGCGCGAUCGGAGCGGCCGAUGUCAGAUUAGGUAGUUGGUGGGGUAAGGCUCACCAAGCCAACGAUCUGUAGCUGGUCUGAGAGGACGACCAGCCACACUGGGACUGAGACACGGCCCCGACUCCUACGGGAGGCAGCAGUGGGGAAUUUUGGACAAUGGGCGAAAGCCUGAUCCAGCAAUGCCGCGUGCAGGAAGAAGGCCUUCGGGUUGUAAACUGCUUUUGUACGGAGCGAAAAGGUCUCCUCUAAUACAGGGGGCUCAUGACGGUACCGUAAGAAUAAGCACCGGCUAACUACGUGCCAGCAGCCGCGGUAA